rnacentral:rRNA from 1 species
AUGGCUAGAGCCGCAUCGCGCGCUCCAAAGGGAGGCCACGGCAAGGGCGGGCAAGAGGAGCCGCGCCACGCACGGGAGUCGCCGCGGGUCGGGCAACCCGCCGCGCCGUGGGCGGCCAUGGCUGUUGGCCGCCGUCAGCCAGCGGGCGCGGGCGCGAGCGCCGCCCGUGCGAGGGGACUCGCUGUGGCCUGUAGGCAUCGACGGGCCGAGGGUCGCCACGCCAAGGUGCCGUGCACGCGGGAUGGCCGACGUUCUGGAGAGGAAGGCACCGCUGAGAAUCGGCAUGAUUUCCUUACCUUAUUCUCGUUCUUCUGUCAUCCGAUCUCGAUCUCGUUCCGAACUCGCGAACUCGCUGGUUCGAGCGUGCUGAUAACGUGUGAAAGAUCGAUUGUAACAGAACAAGAGAGUCGGACAAAUGAAUCGGGGUCAUCUUUAUUGAUGAUGAAUACAUCUAUAUAUAGGGUUACAAAAGACACCAAGUGA